UACGGAGGAUGCAAGCGUUAUCCGGAAUGAUUGGGCGUAAAGCGUCCGCAGGUGGCUAUGUAAGUCUGCUGUUAAAGAGUGAGGCUCAACCUCAUAAGAGCAGUGGAAACUACAUGGCUAGAGUGCGUUCGGGGCAGAGGGAAUUCCUGGUGUAGCGGUGAAAUGCGUAGAUAUCAGGAAGAACACCGGUGGCGAAAGCGCUCUGCUAGGCCGCAACUGACACUGAGGGACGGAAGCUAGGGGAGCGAAUGGG
rnacentral:rRNA from 1 species